ACAGAUGCAGGUGCCACAGUGACAGUCCCCUCUGCCUGCACAAAUCUGUUUAUCCUGAGAAAGACAAGACUCCAAGCUGAGAGGGCACUCACAUGCCCGACCGCGGUAUGCUGCAAAGAUGAUCUGGAUGUUCUUCUGUCUCAAUGUUUCGGCGAUGUGACCCACCGAGGGAUAGUCCUGACGGAGCCGAUUCAGUUGCAGAUGCAAAAUGCAACGCAUAACACUCGGUCCUGCUCCCUGCUGGGCUUCCUUGCAUUACCUCACACACGGCGGCCUGCAUCAAGGCAUCCAGCCCCCCUUCUGGUAAAUCCAGGUUACCCGAGAUCCGCUGCCUCCCAACCAGCUCCGUGAAGAGGCUCCCGUUG